UACGUAGGUGACCAGCGUUGUCCGGAUUUACUGGGCGUAAAGAGCGCGCAGGCGGUCGUUCAAGUCGAGUGUGAAAGCCCCCGGCUCAACUGGGGAGGGUCGUGCGAUACGGGCAGCUGGAGGCCAGUAGGGGGAUGCGGAAUUCCGGGUGUAGUGGUGGAAUGCGUAGAGAUCCGGAGGAACACCAGCGGCGAAGGCGGCAUCCUGGACUGGUACUGACGCUCAGGAGCGAAAGCGUGGGGAGCGAUCCGG
rnacentral:rRNA from 1 species